rnacentral:rRNA from 1 species
GUCCUCAAACAUCACAUCUUGCUUGAUCCUGGAAGCUAAGCAGGGUCAGGCCUGGUUCGUAUUUGGGAGGGAGACCGCCAACGAAUACCAGGUGUUUGAGGAUA